GACGAACGCUGGCGGCGUGCCUAAUACAUGCAAGUUGAGCGAUGAAGCUUGGUGCUUGCACCAAUUUGAAGAGCAGCGAACGGGUGAGUAACGCGUGGGGAAUCUGCCUUUGAGCGGGGGACAACAUUUGGAAACGAAUGCUAAUACCGCAUAACAUCUUUAAACAUAAGUUUUAAGUUUGAAAGAUGCAAUUGCAUCACUCAAAGAUGAUCCCGCGUUGUAUUAGCUAGUUGGUGAGGUAAAGGCUCACCAAGGCGAUGAUACAUAGCCGACCUGAGAGGGUGAUCGGGCAAAUUGGGACCGAGAAACGGCCCAAACUUCUACGGGAGGCAGCAGGAGGGAAUCUUCGGCCAUGGAGGGAAGUCUGAACGGGGAACGCCGCGGGAGGGAAGAAGGGUCUCGGAUCGGAAAAAUCUGUUUGUAGGGAAGAACGUUGGUGAGAGGGGACAGCUCAUCAAGUGACGGUAACUACUCAGAAAGGGACGGCUAACUACGUG
rnacentral:rRNA from 1 species